UACGGGGGGAGCAAGCGUUGUUCGGAUUUACUGGGCGUAAAGGGCGCGUAGGCGGCCACCGCAAGUCGACUGUGAAAUCUCCGGGCUUAACCCGGAAAGGUCAGCCGAUACUGCGGGGCUAGAGUGCAGAAGGGGGCAACUGGAAUUCUCGGUGUAGCGGUGAAAUGCGUAGAUAUCGAGAGGAACACCUGCGGCGAAGGCGGGUUGCUGGGCUGACACUGACGCUGAGGCGCGAAAGCUAGGGGAGCGAACGGGG
rnacentral:rRNA from 1 species